AUUCUCUGAAAGACACCAAACUGGAAAUCAGGAGACAUAGUUUCUAGUCUAUAUUCUAUCAUCUAACUAGCUCUAUGACUUUGAGUAAUUUACUAAGCUCUUUGAGUCAGUUUCUUCAUUUAUAAAUGUGAAGAGUUUGUUUGAUUUUUCUCUGUAAAUCCCCUUCCAGGGCUCGUGUCUAGUAUUCAAUACUGUGUCUAUCUGUCUCUCUCUAUUACAUAUAAAUACUCAGAUAUAAAAACUUAAUGCAUAUAAGUUCCAUACAUCAAUAACCUAAGUUAAUCAACAGAAUUCAUAAGGAGAUAUCAAAAAACAGAAUUAAUUUUCUCCUGAAUAAGGCAGUUGAAUUUAGCCAAUAGAUAAAUUACUGGGAACUACUGUAGGUUCUUGAUCAGGGCUGAGAUGAUAAAAGCAGUAUUUUCAAAAGUAUUCUUAGGCAACAGUGUACAGAAUGGAUCGGAUGGAAGAAAUCUGGAGUACAAAAUAGGCAGACAUGAUACCACGGCUCAGGAUGAGAUAAGGAGAGUCUAGAGUAUAGUGAUAGUAUCAGAGUAGAAGCAAAAGACACAGCGUAUUGAGAUGUAUAUUUGUUCACAAAAAAUUUAAAAAGAUUAUCAAAAGAAAAGUUAUGAAAGAGGAAAUGCAAAUGUCUAAUAAACAUGAAAAGUGCAUUAAUGCUCUGGCACUCAAAGAUGUGAUUUAUAAAAAAAAUAAUUCUCAAUGCUGAUAAAUGUGCAGUAAAACUGGCACUUAUGUAAUAGUGAUAUGGGGGAUGCUUGUUGACACAAAAUUCUGCCAAGUAAUAUGACAAUAUAUUGUCAAGAACUUUUCUUUAAAAAUGUGCUCAAAUCUUGUUGUCUCAGCAGCAGCACCAGUUCCAUCUCCCGCCCAGCACAGUUGGUUAAGGAUCUGAGGUUGAUGCAGCUGUGGCAUAGGUCACAGCUGCAGCUCAGACUCAAUCCCUGGCCUGGAAACUUCCAUACGGCACGGGUACAGCUGCAAAACUUAAAAAAAUGUGUUCUUUGACGCAGUCAUUUAACUUCUGGGAAUGUACCUAGAAGGUACUAGUUUCUGAUAAGAAUCAGAAACUCAAAGACCUGUUCAUCACAAUUUCAUUUAUAAAAGUGAAAGAAAGGGAAAGCAAUCUUAAAUAUUUAAUCAAAGAAAUUAUUACACAAAUUAUGGAACAUAUAUAUUAUUGUAUAACAUUAUUAGCUACAUAGUUAUUAAAGGUAUUUUAAAUAAUUAUUUUACUAGGAAAUGUUCAUGAAACAAUGUAACUGAAAAUACCUGAUUCAAAAGAAACAUGUAUACCUAACAUGAUCCCAAAUUAGAAAAAAAAAUAUUUGGUUAUAAUCAGAGGAAAUACUUUAAAAUGUGAAUAGUAGUAGGACCUCUAUAUAAUGGAAUUAAGCGAUAUUUUAUUUCUUCUUUUUCUUAAACUUUCUAAAUAUUCUUAAAACACUGAUGAUUACAAAAGUAAAAUUUUUAAGCAAACAGAAAAUAAUUAAAUAAAAAUAAUUAAAAAUCUGAUAAUUCAACUUAAGAAAAGAACACAUAUCUGUUAUCACUUCUUAAAUGGAUUAAAAUGUUUUAUUUUUCCAAUUUAUUAAGCUUUUUAAGAUAUCGAUUUUUAGAAUCAUAUAUACUAUGUUAUGAUAUAUUUUUUCUGAUUCAUAUCAUGUAGUUACUAUUGCCCAGUGUUUCCCAAAGUCUCUUUUUCUUUUUUGGAUCCUUGUACAUUUACCUUAGGUUAUCAGCCUGCACUUUGACAUUCUAGAACCUCAGUUUUUUUGGUCCCUUAGCUCUGACAUUAAAGUGCUCAGACCACAUUUACCUAUAUAUGAGAUUAUCACAAGGGAAGAAAUCCAGGUAACUCUUAAUGUUUUCAAUUGUCUUUAACUCCUAAAUUUCUCAUGUUGUAAGGAUUUCAUAAUCUAAUAAUAUCAUUUUGAAUAAUUGAAACAGAUGAAAGCGAAGUAAAGAAAAUAGCCAAUAUAUGUCUCCAUAGAGUCACUUUUGUUGGGUGGCCUGAACUACCACUGAUAACAUUUAUCAAGCACCCAUUUUAAGAAGAGAAUCUUGGCUGCUCUAUUUAAGAAUGAAUAAAUCUAACAACUCACUUGGCUCUGUUCUCAGAAUUUAGCCAAAAAAGAAACCUAGUUGGGUGCCAGAAAAAAUGAACCACAUAGAGCUUUGUAGGCCCCAAAUACACAAGUAACUUAGUCCGCCCUUUUUCUCACAAAACUGUAUAAGUAAAAAUGUAAUCUUAAAACAUCUAAAUUGUUUACACUGGCCAAUGGCAAAGUGCUAGAGUAACUAAAAAUUUCCAGACUACACCUUCUUUCCCUUCUGCCAGGAGAAUGACCACUCUCUCCACCAACUACAAGUUAAUCCAGGACCAUUUGUACAUGGCUCAUCUCUUUUUCAGAAAUGUAUCUCAUGUGAAAGAAGAGGUCAUGUUCUAUUUAUCUAUGUUACCACAGGUUCUGGUAAAGUGCAUAACUGUUGAACAAACUAAUGAAAGAUCAGCAACUUAGUUUUGAUGAUUUUAGUAACUUUAAAAAUAAUCUAUAAGAAUAAUCUAAGGAAAAAGUUACUUGGAUACAGAUGUUCAUACCCUAUGUAUUUUUAUAUAACCAAUUUUACUAGUAUUUGGGUAAGUCCUUUAUAGUGAUGUUAUCACCAAAUCAUGAACGUCUUUGGCAGUAAAUAUCUUUCAAGGGCAUAUUUUUUCUACGAGGCUAAGAGUUAAAGAGUUAAAGCUCAAGAGUUCUUUCAAUAAUUAAUGAGUGUGACACACAAAACAAGUUACUAAGUCUCUCUGACUCUCAAUUUCCUCAUCUGAAAGAUGGGAGUAGUGAUAAUACUUAAUUUACAAUCCUUGCUAUGGGGGUUGGGUAAGAUCAUGCAUAUCAAACAGCACCAUCCCUUGGGCUAUAAUUACUACAAUUAAUGCCUCCCAGGUCAGAUGUUUGUACUUGCACAUUCAUCCGGAACACUGGGACAGGAGGUGCAGAGGUAUACUAGCAGAGUUUUCCCUGGAUAUGAUAUCAGAGAGCUGCCUAAGUGCAUAUGCCAGUGCUUUUCAGGCUUCAGUAACAUUAGAAUUAUUUGGGAAGCUCAUUUAAAGUGUAGAUCAAUUGUUGAGUUCCACCUCAGGAUAUACUCAUUCAGUUUAUUUAUAUUUUUAACAUAAUUAUGUUUUUUUAAUAUGCUCCCCAGGAGAUUCUGCUGUAGGUGGUCCCAGACCAAGCUCUAAGUAACCCUGGCAUCAUAAUUCCACCCCAGCCUUGAUUGUAGAUCACCUCCAGCCCAUGGCAUCACUCCUCAGGACUACACUCUGGCCACUCCAUACUGUUUGGCCUGACUACUCACACUCCCAACUUAUCUCACCCACUGAGAACAGGAGAAGAAUAGGAAAGAUAGGGCCAGUUGGGAAAACUUGAGCAGCUGCACUAAAUUAUCUGUUAUUUGGUAUUAUUUGCACUAAUGAUCUUUUGCGUUAGUCCAAAUGUAAGCUGACUUGAGAGGUAAGCUUGAACUUAAGAUAGCUUUCCCUAGAUAACUGUGGAAAGACUAAAUGUAGUGAAGUUUAUCCUCUGUGUUUUUUUAUGGAAUUACUAUCUAUAGAACUUAGAUGAAUAAGCACAAUUGAAGUGCAAAGUGUUAAAUGCAUGCUUUGAUUUAGUCAAUGCAUUUGCACGUUGAAGUAAUUAGAAUGUAUUUAAAAGCAUUCUGCUUGCAAUACUUUGUUCUCCAUUUCCUACAAAUCAAAUUAGUGAAGGGUAGAUUUGAUUUUGACAUCAUUUUGAAAAUAUUUUCUUUUUCUUUUUUUAAUUUUCUUAGUAUUACAUUUUUACAAAGUUCAAAACACAACCAACUGUGACUAAAUUCAUAAAAACAAAACAAAAAGUCCAAAGUGAAAGAAAAUGAAAAACAGCACAGAGUAAUAUGCCGUAGAACAACGUAAAUCAUACCUCACAAAUAUAGUUGUAAUAACACACCUUAUCCAUGUCUGAUCAAUUAACAACAAAUACUUAUUCAGAUGGCGAAUAGCUCAUUCUUUUACUUUGAUUGAGAGCGCCAAAUUUAAUUAUUCAUCUCAGUCCAAAUAAAUAGAAAAGGCAGCCAAACCUUCAAAAAAAUCUUAACCAUCUCCUGUUUUCAUUGUACUAUAUGUAAUGCAAUGAAUUAAUGUGAAGAAAGAAUAUGAAGGUUGUUUUCCUUGUUUGCUAACAAAGCAUUCAAGCAAGAUUAUUUAAAAAAAAAUAGAUUUGGCAUGAUAAAGAUAUGUUUAUGGAGCUAUGUUUCUCAAAGAAAGACCUGAGUUUAAAUCCAAACUCUGCACAUUAUAUUAUCUUUGACAAAUUAGUUCACUCUCCUGAGCCUCAGUUUUCAUAUCUGUAAAGUGAGGGUAAUAAUAUCUACAUUGCAGUUAUUUUCUUAUCGUGCAAUAUUGUAUUGUAAGUGCCUUAAUUUAAUGUACACUCAAUAAAUGGCAGUUAUACUAUUAAUUCAAGAAAGAAAGUUUGGAGGGGUAAGAACUGAAAAUCUUUGGGGAGGGGGGGAGUCUAAACAAAAAUAUUCUAUAUUCUUACUUCCCUAGAGGCUGUUUACAGGAGUCAAAGAUUUUAACCUAGAAUUUUAUCAGGAUUCCUACAGAAGGGAUUGUUUUGCCUUUAUAAUCUUCUUGCUACCCAAAUUGCUGUUCUUAAUGUGCAUCAGUGACCUCAAAAUACAUGUUGAUAAAUACCCUUUAUACAAUCAAAGUACAUAUUUGACCAACUAUAAUUUUCUAAUACCAAUUAUUAUCAUAGUCUUUUGUUGAAGAUAAAUAGCAUUUUGGACUGGGCACAGAUUAGAUAAGUCUAAUCCCCAUUAUUUUUCUAUACUAUAGCUGUAGUUUUAGAGGUAUACAUGUUUAUCCGCAGAAAUGAAGGGGAGAUAGAAUGGACAAGAGCAGUGGACCCAUUUGUGCUUCUUAGGAGCAAAGAUAAUAUCCUGUUUUGCCUUGUCAAUGAUUAUCUCUGUCUUUCAUAUAGAGAGAGAGCACUCAUUAAAUAUUUGUUGAAUUAAGUGAAUAAGAAACAAAGUGCUAAGAAAAUAUCUGUAUAGCAUGAAGGAGCCAGCUCAGAAGUAAUAUAUGCAAGUGGUAAGUAGAGAGCUUAAAACUUGUUUUUGGACAUCAACAGUCCAGAUGCCUGCAUGUGGAAUGGCAGCCAUUUUUAUUCAGAGCAACUAAUUCUUAGCUUGAGGAAACAUAUAAACCAAGAGAAACAACUGACCUUAAAUGAAAGUGCCAUGAUAUUCAGGGCUGGAAGGAGCCAUGGAGAUUUUCAAAUCCAAGGGCCUCAUUUCUCAUCUGAGAGAACUGAGUUAUUUUCCCAAACCCUUCUUGGCAAAGUUUACUGAUACUCAAACUUCAAUUUCCUGGUUCGGGUCCAUCUGAUUUUUAUGUUGUACCAUUCUGCCUUUGGGUCUCCAGACUGUCUCCUUGUGGGUUCCCAUAUAUCUUCUGUGGCUUCUCUUUUUAUGACCAAGGCCACGCAGUGAAGCAUCUAGCAACACCUCUGAUUAAAAUUGUCUCACCUAUCAUGGCAUUUUCCAUAGACCUUAUAAAGACACAGUAAGGAGAUUCUUCCUUUGAUUUUUAAUUCAACUUUUAUCACAGAAUAAUCUAUAUUAAAUUAUUAUUAACCAUUAACAGUUCAUCUAAAUUACUUUAAUUCCUUGUCAAGUGAUUGUUAGCUGAUGUUAAAAGGAAUGGAGAAGAAAGAACGAUUAUAAUUUGAGGAGAAAGUAGAGAAAGAGUUCUGUCCUUGGGAUGUUACCGGGGGAAGGCAAGGCCAGGUGAGCUGUGAUGGGGACAUCCAGGGUACCCAGGAAGUCACUAGGAAGUACGUAGGAUUAUUUGAACCUUAGAGGAGAGAGGAGAUGAGAAAAGAUAAAAGAAUAGAAGAAAGAGGAAGGAAUAAGGGUGGAUAGUACUGCAGGUAGGCAGUAGCUUGGUCUUUUGGUUCAUUCUUUACUGUAUUUGUAACUCCUGUGCUCAGUGGAGAACCUUGUGUUCAGAUCAUUUGUAAGCUGUUACAAGUUCUUUAUAUUACCAUUGUCAAGUAAUGACUAGAAUUUCUUGAAUCAAGUAUUAAUGACAUCCAUAAAAGGAGAAAUAAAGUAUUUGGUAAGUAAAUAUCUUCCCCAUCCACCUAAGGAAUGGAGGAAGUACUGAUGAUCUGUUGAUGGUGAGUUAAAGUGGCACACCAGGAAUCUUUAUAAAUGGUUUUCCCAU
rnacentral:lncRNA from 1 species